ensembl:lncRNA
AUAACAUAAUAAUGUGUUACCCAGUAAAAGGACAGUGACAUGUAAAGAGCAGUAGAGAGAGAGAGAGGGGCUGUAUGUGUAAUGAGCUUUGUGACUGUCCUCCCUUCCUUUUUUUCUCACUCUUUUGGGAGACAUGCGUUUUCCAGCUGCACAGCCCCCACAGUGCGAGGCCAGGCCAGGAGCACAGCUGGCCAGACAUGGUGGAGCCAGUCGACAGGCGCAUGGAGCGCCGCCCGCCCUCUUCCUCCGCAAACAUGUCCAGGUGUAGGGCCUCCGAGCUGGGCUUCUGAUCUGCACUAAACAGGUGCAAACAGCCACUGUUGCUGUCACCUGUUGAGGAGGAAGUUUGGGCUGACUAUCACACUAUAUAAAAAAGGUCACAAAGAUCCUCUUCCCCGCCUGCAUUCUGAAGGUGAGAUUUUGAACAGUUCCCACUGACUGAUUGUCAAAGUACCAGGCUGAUUCCAGCUGACACUAAGAACAGAAUAUGGAACACUACUCAUCACCCAAAGCAUAUAAUUCACAAGAUCAUCCAGUCAUAUUGUCAUUACAGUAUGUGAUAUGAUAUUUGCAGAAUAUUUGGUACAGUAGUUAAAUCUAUGAAAUGCAUGUUUCCCCACAAAUAGAAAACCACCAAACAAAUGAGCCAAUACUCUGACAGUAAAACACUCACAGAGGCUGCUGAAUAUGAUUUCUGUUAUUUCCUUUAGAGGCAAAAAUAAGUGCUGAUUCAUAGUGACAAUCAGAGACUCAUAAGUUGUGCAAUAAAACUUUGGGGAGGUGUGUGUGUGUGAAUAUGUGUCAGGGUUUGUAUUUACAUGUUGCGACAGAACCAAGGCCCUCUGUGUUGGUAAUUGGCUUUGCACAAUGAAUGAGACUUAGCAGUAUAGUGCCAACAACAACCUCUCCCUCAACACCAGUAUGACCAAAGAGCUGAUCGUGGACUAUAGGAGAAAGAGGGGAGAGCACGCCCCCAUCAACAGGGCGGUUGUGGAGCGAGUCGAGAACUUCCAAGUUCCAUGGGGUGCGCAUCACUAAGGACCUAACAUGGUCCACACACACCCACACAGUUGUGAAGAGGACACGGCAGCGCCUCUUCCGCCUCAGGAGGCUGAAAAGGUUUGUCAUGGGCCCUCGGAUCCUCAAAAAGAUCAUCACUGCUUGGUAUAGGAAAUCCAAAGCGC